UGUCUCUGUGUCUCUGUCUCUGUCUCUCAAAUAAACAUUAAAAAAAUUUAAAAACAACAGGAUGAAUGAUUCAGAAUAAUGGUGCCACUUUUUUUUUUUUCUGCCAGCUUUUUCUUCCAGCUAAUAAUGACCUCAUCUCUGAAGUCUAAUUCCCCCUUCCUACUAAUUACUAUUCAGGAGCAGGUGGUAACCACAAUUACAUCCCCACACCUUGCGUCUGAUGUCAUCUGCAGAGCUAAAAUGGAAUGUCUAACGGUAGCUGCAGUCAUGUUGAGGAGCAAGGGAAGGGCUGGGAUAAGAGAUCAGAGCUUGGCUGGAUGCCAGGUGUGUGAGCAAAGAUCAUCUUGUUUUUGUCUUCUGGGAGAUUUGUGAGAGGAAAGACGUGGCAUUAUCUCAGAACCAUCUGGUGGCAGCGGGAACAAGAAGGGGGAAGGAGGCUAUGAGCAGUCGUCACGUAGCCAUGUCUUACUGUUUGCAGACGCCCACGAUCAAGCUACUUCCUGACAGAAGUGGGUCAACUAACAGCCUUGGCUCAGGAAAGAAUAGAGCUUCAAGGAAUAAGAAAGCGGCCCUGCAGAGGCUGUGGGAUUCCUCCAGCAGGACAACUUAGAGACACUACCCAAAGCUUCCUGUAGUGUGGGCAAAGUCUCCAGGCCCAGGGAGAGAGGGCAGGGUGCCCUUGGUCUUCCAGGGUGAGACUGAUCUGAACUCAGGUGGGCUGAUCCUCUAGGAACCUCAGUGUAAGGUGACAUUUGUGGUCACCCAGGUGACCCAGGUUGUGGUCAACCAGGUUUCAGUCCGGCCUGCAUAUGCCUUUUGUUUGCCCCACAUUCGUGAUUACAAAAUGGUUGGAUUAGUUCCCAACUCUAAAGUAACAAGGUAUUUCAUAUAAAAUCCAGGUUUCUGGCUGCUCUUGGAGAAUGAGAAAUCUGGCAGCCCAGGCCCCAAGUUUUCACAUAGCAACAUUUGGCUGGAGUUGAGUAGCCGCUGGCCACAGAAGCCAGGGAGUAACUCUCCACUCCGGCAUGUUCCCCACCCAUUCACUUCAUUCCAAACCCCUGUAGGCAUUUGUAUUUGUGACGCCUGCUCUAAAAUGCAACAUCAGUGAAGGCAAGGGAUGGGAGCAUUCGUCCCUAAUGGAGCUUUGUCCCCAGCACGCGUCUGCACAGUGCUGGGCAAUGCACAGGUAUUUGAUGUGUAUUUAUGUAAUAACAGAUAGUGAAUUAAGACAUCCCUGUUAAAAUAAGCAGAUCUGCAUUUAAAUCCAGGCUAUGUGGUCUUGGGUGAGAAACUGAACUUUCUAAGCCUCUGUUUUCCUCAUUUAUAAAUUAGGGACAUAAAUACCGACCUCCUUGGCCAGUCCAAGAAAAAAUGUGAAAUGCUUAGCGUGAGGCUAUCACAUGGUCAGCACCCAAUAAAUAUUUGCUAAAUGGCUGAAA